UCUUGGGUCGUAAACCUCUUUUCUCAGGGAAGAACACAAUGACGGUACCUGAGGAAUAAGCAUCGGCUAACUCCGUGCCAGCAGCCGCGGUAAUACGGAGGAUGCAAGCGUUAUCCGGAAUGAUUGGGCGUAAAGCGUCCGCAGGUGGCUGUGUAAGUCUGCUGUUAAAGAGUCUAGCUCAACUAGAUAAGAGCAGUGGAAACUACACGGCUAGAGUACGUUCGGGGCAGAGGGAAUUCCUGGUGUAGCGGUGAAAUGCGUAGAGAUCAGGAAGAACACCAGUGGCGAAGGCGCUCUGCUAGGCCGUAACUGACACUGAGGGACGAAAGCUAGGGGAGCGAAUGGGAUUAGAUACCCCAGUAGUCCUAGCCGUAAACGAUGGAUACUAGGCGUGGCUUGUAUCGACCCGAGCCGUGCCGUANCUAACGCGUUAAGUAUCCCGCCUGGGGAGUACGCCGGCAACGGUGAAACUCAAAGGAAUUGACGGGGGCCCGCACAAGCGGUGGAGUAUGUGGUUUAAUUCGAUGCAACGCGAAGAACCUUACCAAGGCUUGACAUGUCGCGAAUCCUGGUGAAAGCCGGGAGUGCCUUCGGGAGCGCGAACACAGGUGGUGCAUGGCUGUCGUCAGCUCGUGUCGUGAGAUGUUGGGUUAAGUCCCGCAACGAGCGCAACCCUCGUUUUUAGUUGCCAGCAUUAAGUUGGGCACUCUAGAGAGACUGCCGGUGACAAACCGGAGGAAGGUGGGGAUGACGUCAAGUCAGCAUGCCCCUUACGCCUUGGGCUACACACGUACUACAAUGCUCCGGACAGAGGGCAGCAAGCAUGCGAAUGCAAGCAAAUCCCGUAAACCGGAGCUCAGUUCAGAUCGCAGGCUGCAACUCGCCUGCGUGAAGGAGGAAUCGCUAGUAAU
rnacentral:rRNA from 1 species